rnacentral:rRNA from 1 species
GACGAACGCUGGCGGCGUGCUUAACACAUGCAAGUCGAACGGAAAGGCCCUGCUUUUGUGGGGUGCUCGAGUGGCGAAAGGGUGAGUAACACGUGAGUAACCUGCCCUUGACUUUGGGAUAACUUCAGGAAACUGGGGCUAAUACCGGGUAGGAGCUCCUGCUGCAUGGGGGGGGUUGGAAAGUUUCGGCGGUUGGGGAUGGACUCGCGGCUUAUCAGCUUGUUGGUGGGGUAGUGGCUUACCAAGGCUUUGACGGGUAGCCGGCCUGAGAGGGUGACCGGCCACAUUGGGACUGCGGUACGGGCCAGAAUCCUACGGGAGGCAACAGUGGGGAAUAUUGCAAAAUGGGGGGAAGCCUGAUGCAGCCACGCCGCGUGCGGGAUGACGGCCUUCGGGUUGUAAACCGCUUUCGACUGUGACGAAGCGUGAGUGACGGUAAUGUGUAAAGAAGCACCGGCUAACUACGUG